rnacentral:rRNA from 1 species
UACGGAGGAGGCAAGCGUUAUCCGGAAUUAUUGGGCGUAAAGCGUCCGUAGGUGGCUAGUCAAGUCUGCGGUCAAAGACUGGGGCUUAACCCCGGGCCUGCAGCCGAUACGGGCAAGCUAGAAUUCGGUAGGGGAGACUGGAAUUCCUGGUGUAGCGGUGAAAUGCGCAGAUAUCAGGAGGAACACCGGUGGCGAAGGCGGCUCUCUGGAACGCAACUGACGCUGAGACGCGAAAGCGUGGGGAGCAAACAGG